CACAAAGAUGACAAAGUACAAUCAUCUGAAAUAAUUUAUUUCCGGAGCAUUAUGUACAAGCAGAGACGUUAAUACUUUUACACAUGAAGGACACAGAGAAAAAAGAAGGAGAGAGAGAGAGAGGGAAAGGGAGAAGAGACAACAUAAUAUUCCCAUCAUUGUGCCAUCUGAAAACAGACGUAAAAGAUACAUGAGACCAUGGGCGUCUGCAGGGCGGGGCAAACCCGACAUUUGUCCUCCUGAAAAGGCAAGUUUUUUCACAAAUUGUGUUUUUUAUCUUGAAAUAAGUUUGAAAUCCCUGGUUAACAAAUUAAAUCAUACAUCUAUUUGUGAAAAGAACUCUCUGUACAGUGAAACCUUUCUGUAAAAUUCAUAAUUUUUGGGACAAGAAAAUUGCUCCGCCCUCCUCUGAAAAAAAUCCUGUAGACGCCCAUGCAUGGGGCAAUGUCCAAAGCGACGCGUGAAUAGCGACACGUACAUAUCAUGCUGUUGACGUAAGUUUCAGAAGGACAAGUGAUAAAUACCGGGUCAUUGUGGACGAAGAAAACAAAUCAAAGUAUAGCAAUUUACGGCGAUGACUUCAUUAUUAAAACUUUCUUUUCACCGAGCUAUUUUUUCAAAUGCAGAAAUUCGAAAGUUAGUGAAAAUCACAAAAGAGGACAUAAGAUAGAGAGAGAGGGAGAGAGAAAGAGGGGAAUAUACGCCAGAGACCAUAUUUUAUUUUAGUGCGGAAAAAUGAAAAAUUCGAUCAGUGUGCCUCUGUACAUCUCCGUACGACAUCCGAGAUUCAUCAUCAUUUCCGUGGCAGUAUGUGUGUGGCAGAUAUCGGGAAAAAAAUGCUUCAUCAGCGGAUGCGAAGAAAGAGAAUCACGUAUGUAUGUAUAUCGUAUUUUAUACGCAGAUUAAAUAUCAAUAUGUAAUCAAAAUAGAUUUUUAACUUCGAAAUUUUGCGGAAAUUAUUUCCACGGAGAAGUACUUGCGGAAGUGCAAUUUAAAUACACACAAUGACCUAAUUCAUUGAGAGAGGGCAUGUGCGCAUCAUAUACAGAGUAUUGAAUUGAAUAUCAUAAAACAUAAAUGUCAUAUAAAUGUGUGAAAGGAUGAAAACACAUAAAAAAAAAAAAAA